GACGAACCGUGCGAACGUUGUUCGGAAUCACUGGGCUUAAAGGGCGCGUAGGCGGCUUGCCAAGUCGGGGGUGAAAUCCGGCAGCUUAACUGUCGAAGUGCCUUCGAUACUGGCAAGCUCGAGGGAGGUAGGGGUCUGUGGAACUUCUGGUGGAGCGGUGAAAUGCGUUGAUAUCAGAAGGAACGCCGGUGGCGAAAGCGACGGGCUGGACCUCUUCUGACGCUGAGGCGCGAAAGCUAGGGGAGCAAACGGG
rnacentral:rRNA from 1 species